GUAGGAUAGAAAUAAGUUUUAUUAGUUGAGAGUUAAUCUAUGAUUUAAUUAAAAUAUUUAUUGGUUAAUUAGGUAGAAUUUAAUAAUUUGAGUUUUUUUAAGUUAAGUAGAUGAAGCUUUGAACAUUGAUUGUUAGACUAGGAUUAGAUACCCUAUUAUUUCAAUUGUAAAUUAUAAAGGCUUGAGUAGUAUUAGUUAAGUUCUUGAAACUCAAAGAAUUUGGCGGUGUUUUAGUCUUUUCAGAGGAAUCUGUCCUGUAAUCGAUACCACACGUUAAAAGUAACUUAAUUUUGUAAUAGCAGCUUGUAUACCGCCGUCAUAAGAAUAUCUUUUUAGAGAUUCAAUAUUCAGGAUGUUUAUUUAAAGAAUAUGUCAGGUCAAGGUGCAGCUUAUGAUUAAGAAGAGAUGGAUUACAAUAAAUUUAUUUAUUACGGAUCAAAAAUGAAAUUUUGGCAUGAAGGUGGAUUUGGAAGUAAUAUUGUCAUAUAAUGGUGAUAUGAUUAAAGCGCUGAAACAUGCACACAUCGCCCGUCACUCUCAUUAUUAAGGUGAGAUAAGUCGUAACAUAGUAGGUGUACUGGAAGGUGUCCCUAGGAAGCCAA
rnacentral:rRNA from 1 species